AGGCUUUUAAAACCAAGGACGGCUUUCUCGUAAUUGCAGCAGGAAAUAACCAACAAUUUGCUACUGUGUGCAAGAUCUUGAAUUUGCCUGAGUUGAUUGAUGACUCCAAGUAUAAGACUAACCACCUUCGGGUACAGAAUAGAAAAGAGCUUAUUAAAAUACUAUCUACACGGUUUGAAGAAGAAACGACCAGCAAAUGGUUACACCUCUUUGAAGGCAGUGGGGUCCCGUAUGGCCCAAUCAACAACAUGAAGAGUGUAUUUGCAGAACC